rnacentral:rRNA from 17 species
CCUCAUGGGCGUUAGAA